rnacentral:misc_RNA from 1 species
GAAAUGCGAUAAGUAAUGUGAAUUGCAGAAUUCAGUGAAUCAUCGAAUCUUUGAACGCACAUGGCGCCCGCCAGUACUCUGGCGGGCAUGCCUGUUCGAGCGUCAUUUCAACCAUCAAGCCCCCGGCUUGUGUUGGGGACCUGCGGCUGCCCGCAGGCCCUGAAAAACAGUGGCGGGCUCGCUGUCACACCGAGCGUAGUAGCAUACAUUCUCGCUCAGGGCGUGCUGCGGGUUCCGGCCGUUAAACGACCUUCAUAACCCAAGGUUGACCUCGGAUCAGGUAGGAAGACCCGCUGAACUUAAGC